rnacentral:rRNA from 1 species
AUGAACGCUGGCGGCGUGCCUAAUACAUGCCAGUCGAGCGAACAGACGAGGAGCUUGCUCCUCUGAUGUUAGCGGCGGACGGGUGAGUAACACGUGGAUAACCUACCUAUAAGACUGGGAUAACUUCGGGAAACCGGAGCUAAUACCGGAUAACAUGUUGAACCGCAUGGUUCAACAGUGAAAGACGGUCUUGCUGUCACUUAUAGAUGGAUCCGCGCCGCAUUAGCUAGUUGGUAAGGUAACGGCUUACCAAGGCAACGAUGCGUAGCCGACCUGAGAGGGUGGUCGGCCACACGGGAACGGAGACACGGUCCAGACUCCUACGAGAGGCAGCAGUAGGGAAUCUUCCGCAAUGGGCGAAAGCCUGACGGAGCAACGCCGCGUGAGUGAAGAAGGUCUUCGGAUCGUAAAACUCUGUUAUUAGGGAAGAACAAAUGUGUAAGUAACUAUGCACGUCUUGACGGUACCUAAUCAGAAAGCCACGGCUAACUACGUG